UCGGAGGACAGCGGCAGAAUAGCGGUGACGACCGCGAAACGGCAGGGACGGCGGCAGGCAGCUGCAUGAGCAUCCCGGGUCCUCCUCUCUCUGUCAGAGAGGCUGGGCCGGGACAACUGUGCCCUCAGCACCCCCCAGAUGGCGGCCCUGCUGAUAUGACACGGGCAGCCUGGCAAGGUGAUCAGGAGGUCAGAUGCCUCCUGGCAACUCCAGAGAGCCAGCACUGAAAGAUUGUUUCCUUUAUACAUUAUCAAGUUAUACAGUGCAUAGUCACUGUAUGAAACACAUGUGAGAGAGGCUGAGGGUUACUUGCCCUUGCACUGCCAUAUAGCGUGUCAGAAGGCUUCAGGAGAGGAAACAGAUACAAGCAUAACAGGACACAGCUGUCAGGCCAUCAUGCCUCUGCAGUCCUCCACACCCUCCAAUUUGAAUGAAUAUGAAAUAAAAUCAGAACUGUAUAUUUGGUAUUUAGGUAAAUUGCCCCAUAGCAUGUUAAAGUAAGGUAUUUUACGAACAUGACAUACACAUACAUGCAAGAUCAACUCAGGUAGUUACAUGGCAUACAAUGUGCAUUAUACUAAAGGAAAGGGCAAUAACCUGACAUUAGAGCAUACCACAUACCUGGUUGGUCAGGUGACCUGUGAGAUCAUCAGAUUUUAGAUCAUAGGUGUUACAGGUCAGACGGACAUAGCCAUGGCGAAAGAAUACAAAAUAGGGCACAGUAGAAGCUAUGAGCAGGUAGGAACGAAUGUCAAACUUCUUUCCUUCCAGAAGCAAAGGGUUUGGUAUAUAUCUGUAAUGCAAGCACCCAUAUUAUUUUAAUUGAUACUAUUAAAAUAAUUUUUGCAACAUGU